GACGAACGCUGGCGGCGUGCUUAACACAUGCAAGUCGAACGGAAAGGCCCUGCUUUUGUGGGGUGCUCGAGUGGCGAACGGGUGAGUAACACGUGAGUAACCUGCCCUUGACUUUGGGAUAACUUCAGGAAACUGGGGCUAAUACCGGAUAGGAGCUCCUGCUGCAUGGUGGGGGUUGGAAAGUUUCGGCGGUUGGGGAUGGACUCGAGGCUUAUCGGCUUGUUGGUGGGGUAGUGGCUUACCAAGGCUUUGACGGGUAGCCGGCCUGAGAGGGUGACCGGCCACAUUAGGACUGAGAUACGCCCCAGACUCCUACGGUAGGCAGCGGUGGGGAAUAUUACAGAACGGGCGGAAGCCAGAUGCGACGACGCCGCGUGCGGGAAGACGGCCUUCGGGUUGUAAACCACUUUCGCCUGUGACGAAGCGUGAGUGACGGUAAUGGGUAAAGAAGCACCGGCUAACUACGUG
rnacentral:rRNA from 1 species